CCUACGGGAGGCAGCAGUGAGGAAUAUUGGUCAAUGGACGAGAGUCUGAACCAGCCAAGUAGCGUGAAGGAUGACUGCCCUAUGGGUUGUAAACUUCUUUUAUAUGGGAAUAAAACGUUCCACGUGUGGGAUUUUGUAUGUACCAUAUGAAUAAGGAUCGGCUAACUCCGUGCCAGCAGCCGCGGUAAUACGGAGGAUCCGAGCGUUAUCCGGAUUUAUUGGGUUUAAAGGGAGCGUAGGUGGAUUGUUAAGUCAGUUGUGAAAGUUUGCGGCUCAACCGUAAAAUUGCAGUUGAAACUGGCAGUCUUGAGUACAGUAGAGGUGGGCGGAAUUCGUGGUGUAGCGGUGAAAUGCUUAGAAAUCACGAAGAACUCCGAUUGCGAAGGCAGUUCACUGGACUGCAACUGACACUGAGGCUCGAAAGUGUGGGUAUCAAACAGGAUUAGAUACCCCAGUAGUC
rnacentral:rRNA from 1 species